UCGCUUGCGCAGAAACCCUAGUCGCCACAUCACGGCCGCCUCGCUCGAUCGGCAUACCGGUCGCCUUGCUCCCAUUUCUCACCUCCAUCUCUCUUCAGUCUUCAGAUCUGUGCACGGCCACAUCAAGCAUGUGCCUCUCCUUUCUCUGAUGUUGGGAGCGUAGCAUAGUAAGCCGGUUGCCGCGAGGUACUGUGAUUUGUGUUUGCGUCUCGGUCCUUUUGAUUGAUGCGGUUUUGGUUGUUUUUUUCUUCCGUUUGUGUGCGUCUUUUUGCCGGAUCACACGGAUCGAUGAUGCUGUUCAAGAAAUACUGCGUUAUCUUCCUGAUACAAAUGUGAGGCCGUCGUUGCGAUGGCCUCCUGAUGACUCAACUGUCUUGCUGAGAUCCAAGUGACAACAAAUCGGCAGCUCUUCUUUCUGUCGCCUCCCCGCCUCAAUCAUCUGCCUAUGCCUAUCAAUUGAAUGUCUCGUAGUCGUAGGACAGGUGUUUUUAUUUUCGUCGCUCAAUCCAUCUUGCCGCCCUGCUAUAAGAGCAUAUGUAACUGCCUUGCUUGCUUCAUAUGGUUGAAUUAAUACGAUCUGACUAGCCAGAUUUAGAAUGGUUGCUUCAUCAAACCAUCAAAUAAUUGAGCCCAAUCCAUCGAUGUUGCAAACCUAUGUGACCUCAACCAGACCAGUUGCAGUUUCAGUGCAGAGUUCAGACAAGCAUUCCUGAAAGGUCACCAACUCUUUGCUGCAUAUUAGCUUUUUUUAUAGCAAUUACUCAAACCGCUUUUCAGACCAUAACCGAAAUUAGCAGCACAUGACGUCUGAGACAGACAGAAAGUAUGGCAUCAGGGAAAAAAAAAAGGUCCCAAGCUAAACAGCAAGUGUAAAGCCAGCUAAUGCAGUUCACAAAUACUUGCAGCGACUUAAACUGCACCAAUUAACACAGUGAAGAUGAACACAGCAAAGUCAAGUACGUGCAUGUUAACCGAACACAGCCGAAUACGGUGCUACCAGUUUACUGAGAUGGUAUCUGGCGGAAGAAAGGUUAACUGAGUUAUGACACGAUUACAUUACAGGCAAUGCGGAAGCAAACUACGGUGUCAGCGUUUAACACCACUUUUCACAGUAUUGUCAAGCAAGCUUAUGUACAGCUGCUCUAACGAAUUUACAGUGACUCCAGCAAGCUCUAUCUCACGACUGAUGAUGGCGGAGCUUCCCCUAGUGUCUCCUAACCGUCAGCGGCAUAGAAAGGAAUCGACUUCAGUGGCAUCACCUUCUCCUGCAAUAUAAGGAAGUGCUGUCAGUGAAUUCUAACCUAUGCCUGGUAAGAAAAU
rnacentral:lncRNA from 1 species